rnacentral:rRNA from 1 species
CUCCCGCUAUUGGAUGAGCCUAUGUCGGAUUAGCUAGUUGGUGAGGUAAUGGCUCACCAAGGCGACGAUCCGUAGCUGGUCUGAGAGGAUGAUCAGCCACAUCGGGACUGAGACACGGCCCGAACUCCUACGGGAGGCAGCAGUGGGGAAUAUUGGACAAUGGGGGCAACCCUGAUCCAGCCAUGCCGCGUGUGUGAAGAAGGCCCUCGGGUUGUAAAGCACUUUCAGUGAGGAAGAACGCCUAUUGGUUAAUACCCGUUAGGAAAGACAUCACUCGCAGAAGAAGCACCGGCUAACUCCGUGCCAGCAGCCGCGGUAAUACGGAGGGUGCAAGCGUUAAUCGGAAUUACUGGGCGUAAAGCGCGCGUAGGUGGCUUGAUAAGCCGGUUGUGAAAGCCCCGGGCUCAACCUGGGAACGGCAUCCGGAACUGUCAGGCUAGAGUGCAGGAGAGGAAGGUAGAAUUCCCGGUGUAGCGGUGAAAUGCGUAGAGAUCGGGAGGAAUACCAGUGGCGAAGGCGGCCUUCUGGACUGACACUGACACUGAGGUGCGAAAGCGUGGGUAGCAAACAGGAUUAGAUACCCUGGUAGUCCACGCCGUAAACGAUGUCGACCAGCCGUUGGGUGCCUAGAGCACUUUGUGGCGAAGUUAACGCGAUAAGUCGACCGCCUGGGGAGUACGGCCGCAAGGUUAAAACUCAAAUGAAUUGACGGGGGCCCGCACAAGCGGUGGAGCAUGUGGUUUAAUUCGAUGCAACGCGAAGAACCUUACCUACCCUUGACAUCCACAGAAUUCGGAAGAGAUUCAUGUGUGCCUUCGGGAACUCUGAGACAGGUGCUGCAUGGCUGUCGUCAGCUCGUGUUGUGAAAUGUUGGGUUAAGUCCCGUAACGAGCGCAACCCUUGUCCUUAUUUGCCAGCGCGUAAUGUCGGGAACUCUAAGGAAACUGCCGGUGACAAACCGGAGGAAGGUGGGGACAACGUCAAGUCAUCAUGGCCCUUACGGGUAGGGCUACACACUUGCUACAAUGGCCGGUACAAAGGGCUGCGAGCUCGCAAGAGUCACCGAAUCCCUUAAAGCCGGUCUCAGUCCGGAUCGGAGUCUGCAACUCGACUCCGUGAAGUCGGAAUCGCUAGUAAUCGUGAAUCAAAAUGUCACGGUGAAUACGUUCCCGGGCCUUGUACACACCGCCCGUCACACCAUGGAAGUGGACUGCACCAG